rnacentral:pre_miRNA from 1 species
UCGUAAGAUUUGAAGACUUCAACUUGUAUACUUAAAGAAUUUGAAGACAUCAACUUGUAUAAUUGAAGGAUUUGAAGACUUCGAUU